GAUGAACGCUAGCGAUAGGCUUAACACAUGCAAGUCGAGGGGUAACGCGUUGGAAGCUUGCUUCCGAUGACGACGACCGGCGGAUGGGUGCGUAACGCGUAUGCAACUUGCCUCACAGUGGAGAAUAACCCGGAGAAAUCCGGACUAAUACUCCAUACACUCUUAAGUACGCCUGUAAAUGAGAGGAAAGAUUUAUCGCUGUGAGAUAGGCAUGCGUCCUAUUAGGUAGUUGGUGAGGUAACGGCUCACCAAGCCGACGAUAGGUAGGGGUGCUGAGAGGCAGAUCCCCCACAUUGGGACUGAGACACGGGCCAAACUCCUACGGGAGGCAGCAGUGAGGAAUAGUGGUCAAUGGAGGAAACUCGGAACCAGCCAAGUCGCGUGAAGGAAGAAUGGCGUAAGGAUUGUAAACUUCUUUAGCGAGCGAGUAAGGACUUCCACGUGAUGGGAGUUUGAAAGUAGCUCGAGAAUAAGUAUCGGCUAACUCCGUG
rnacentral:rRNA from 1 species